rnacentral:rRNA from 1 species
AUACGGAGGGUGCAAGCGUUGUCCGGAUUUAUUGGGUUUAAAGGGUGUGUAGGCGGUGUAUUAAGUCAGUGGUGAAAGCCUGCGGCUCAACCGUAGAACUGCCAUUGAUACUGACACACUUGAGUAUGGACGAGGUAGGCGGAAUUUAUGGUGUAGCGGUGAAAUGCAUAGAUACCAUAAAGAACACCGAUAGCGAAGGCAGCUUACUAGGCCAUAACUGACGCUGAGGCACGAAAGCGUGGGGAGCGGACAGGAUUAGAAACCCUAGUAGUCC